GUGGGCAUGAUGACAAAUUCUUGUAAUCCCAGCUACUGGGACACUGAGGCUGGGGUAUUUCAUGAGUUUAGGAGCUUUUAGCUGCAGGGAAUUAUGGUGAUUGGUUGGCUGUUCUAAUUUAAGCAUUAAUAUGGAGAGCCCCCAGGAUUAGGGAGUCACCAGGUUGCCUAAGGAGGGGGAGAAUCAGCCUUGGUGGUAGAUUGUAGAGGUCAAAACUCCUACACUGAUCAUUUUUGGGAUCAGGUCUCUGAGUAGUCCCUGUACUUCCAGCCUGGGUGAGAUAGGGAGUCCCAGAU
rnacentral:SRP_RNA from 1 species